rnacentral:rRNA from 1 species
GCGCACGCUGGCGGCAGGCCUAACCCAUGCCAGUCGCACGGAUCCUUCGGGAUUAGUGGCGGACGGGUGAGUAACACGUGGGAACGUGCCCUUUGGUUCGGAACAACUCAGGGAAACUUGAGCUAAUACCGGAUGUGCCCUUCGGGGGAAAGAUUUAUCGCCAUUGGAGCGGCCCGCGUCUGAUUAGCUAGUUAGUGAGGUAACGGCCCACCAAGGCGACGAUCAGUAGCUGGUCUGAGAGGAUGAUCAGCCACACUGGGACUGAGACACGGCCCAGACUCCUACGGGAGGCAGCAGUGGGGAAUCUUGCGCAAUGGGCGAAAGCCUGACGCAGCCAUGCCGCGUGAAUGAUGAAGGUCUUAGGAUUGUAAAAUUCUUUCAGCGGGGACGAUAAUGACGGUACCCGCAGAAGAAGCUCCGGCUAACUUCGUG